rnacentral:rRNA from 1 species
GACGAACGCUGGCGGCGUGCUUAACACAUGCAAGUCGAACGAAAAUACCAAGCUUGCUUGGUUGAUUAGUGGCGAACGGGGGAGUAACACGUGAGUAACCUGCCCCUUACUUUCCUGGAUAACUGCUCGAAAGGGUAGCUAAUACGGGAUAUUCUGACCAGCCUGCAUGGGUUGGUUUGGAAAGGUUGUUUUUCUGGUAAGGGAUGGGCUCGCGGCCUAUCAGCUUGUUGGUGGGGUGAUGGCCUACCAAGGCUUUGACGGGUAGCCGGCCUGAGAGGGUGGACGGUCACACUGGGACUGAGAUACGGCCCAGACUCCUACGGGAGGCAGCAGUGGGGAAUAUUGCACAAUGGGCGCAAGCCUGAUGCAGCGACGCCGCGUGAGGGAUGAAGGCCUUCGGGUUGUAAACCUCUUUCGUCAGGGAACAAGGCACUGCUUUUUUGGUGGUGUUGAGGGUACCUGGAUAAGAAGCGCCGGCUAACUACGUG